rnacentral:lncRNA from 1 species
AACCUGGAAGCACUGUCCCCUCCGGCCCCGGUCACCCCUCCCGCCCCGCGGCCCUCGAUCCCGAGCCGGUCUUGGGGAAACGCGCCCGUCUCCCCGGGGGCCUCCGAGCCCGGGCUGCGCGCACCGAAGGGUUAAGGGCGCGGACCGGCCGCCGCGCUGUGCGCUCGCCGUGCUCAGAGCUGCUCGCCCCGCCGCCCGCCGGAGGGUGCCCCCCCCCGCCCCCCCGAAGUCGGAUCCCAGAGCUGCGGCGGCGGCAGCCAACUGCUCCAUAUUUGGCUUCUAUUACACAUUUACAUACUGGAGCGAGCUAGCGAGCGAGCGCGAGAGAGCGCGAGGGAGGGCGGGCGGAGGGAGGAGGGAGGGGAGAGGAGCGAGGGGGGGGAGGAGGAGGAGAGAGCAGAGUAUACCGCAGACAUCAUUUCUACUACAGUGGCGGAGCCGUACAGGACCUGUUUCACUGCAGGGGGAUCCAAAACAAGCCCCGUGGAGCAGCAGCCAGAGCUACAGCAGCCGCAAGACACUGUUUCUCUCCCUCUGCCCCCCCUUCCCCACGCAACCCCAGAUCCAUUUACACUUUACAGAGGAUCGUGCAGCCAAUCACCAGGGUGGUCCAUUCAAGCUGCAGAUUUGUCUGUCAUCUUGGGACAGCAGGCUCGUCCUCCGCAGCCACUGCAGGAAAGUGCGUCACUCAUCAGCAUUCUGGAGCAAAAUGAAAGAGUUUAUUUUGAGGCCUCCAAAGUCGUGCUGCUACAGACCAUGAACAAGAAGGAGAAGACCUCAGCCUGCACGAAUGGUCUUGAAAUGCAUAUGGUCUUGGGUAAGUCAUCCGAAGGACUUGGCAUUCAUUAGUUGUAAAUUUCAUCCAUCAUCAUUCAUUUGGUGUCCCAGGCCAUCUUAUUCAAGUUCAUGGUUAUUUCUCUACAGCCCAAGCAACAGGAUGUUGAGGAAAUGUUGAUCCAGGGCUGCUGAGCCAAGAGAGCAAUGACAUUGACUUAGUGCGUUCCUUUCUGAAAUGUGCAGAAUAGCAGGAUUUGAGCAGAAUGCACUUGUGGUUAGGAAAGACCAAAAAAAAAAAAAAAAAAACCAAACAACUAAACACACAAACAACAAACUUUAUCUUCCAUAUAUUCCAUUUCAGUGGAGAGCAUAGGGGAUUAAUCAUACAGGAGAUAGUAUAUUCAAUCUAGUGGCAUGUUUGUUAUCCUGUAAGUGAAGUAUUGGGAUGAGCAAGGUGAGAGGCAUUGGGAGUUUCCAGAUCCUGUUCAACAGGGUCUGUUGAGAACCUUUUAACUAAACAUGGUACCCUGAAUGACAGUCUUGGGGGUGGAAUGCAAAUGCUCCAAACUAUAAAUAAAUAUUAAAUUCCAAACCCUACAGCAAAAUAAUGUGGACUUCCAAGGAAGUUUCAUCAGUCUAGUUCAAUGUAUUUCUUGGAAACAGAGACCUCAGAUGGAAGCCCAGUUCUGCUCACAUAUCUUGGUGACCUUGGACAAUGUAUCCACCCUCUUGAAAUGAGUCACCUGUAAAAACACCACUAUCUUGAUGAUGUCCGAGGUUGCUUGCAAAUUUAAAAUUCCACAGCUCGUUCUAGUGAAGUUAAUUAAAUACUACUACCCUUUGAUUCUUGCUGAUCUGAAUUUAUCGUGUGCCCUUGGCAAGUCAUCAUUCGCAGGGGGCUCCCUGGACCAGCCAGUGUGAAGAAAAGGUGGCAGAGGCACCUGGGGUCCUCCUUCCUCCUGGCACUGAUCUUGUGACUCAGCCCUUUGGUCAAGCAGGUCUUGCAGUAUCUGGUUCAUAAUUUAUUCUCUUGCAGCAUUACAGAAAACAUGGCGCAGUGUUCUAUGAAUAUAAUAUUCGAAUAAACGAGAUAGGUUUCUUCUGAAUCAUUGUCUUCUAUUUUUCUGUUGGGGAUCUCACUUCUUCUUUCUCUGUGCUUGCAGUCACUGUGUUAUGGGUUAUCUGCCAGUUCUUUAACCCUGUGGAGCCCCAAACUUUGUUUUAUGUUGAACGGAACCCUUUCUUACUAAAUGUCCCUUUUCUGAAGCAGAGCUGCAAAUGACACUUUAAAUGAUGCUCAGAUGUCACUCUUGUUAGCAGCUGGCUGUCUGCCUCAGAGCAGUGCAUUAUUUGGGUUUCAUAACAGCAUUUUUUUUCUCUUACAAAUGUUAAAUUACGAAGUGCAGGAAACCACAUGAAUGCGGCAGAAUGAAAACGCACACAGUGUUAUCUGGAGAUGCCAGUGUUAUGAUUCUCCUGGUGACAGUCUCUUCCCUGCAGUCAACAUAGGAAGCCUCUCUACCUGUUUGGUGACAGCGUUGUAGUUCCUGUCUCCACCUGUCUUCUUGCCCUUGUCCUGCUGAAUUGGGAGUUUGAGUUAAGACGACUGCAGGGGGCUGUCUCUUUCUAUCCAAGUCCCGCCUGACCACCAAGCCCGGCUCAUGUUCACAAAGUCUGCCCUGAAUGCUCAGGACUUACUGACUGGCCUCUCCUUAUGAGCUCCUAUAACAAUUAGAGCCUGCGUCUUAAAAAACACAAAAACAAAACAAAACAAAAAAAACAAACUCUAUGGCUGUGCAUUGCUUUGUGAGUUGCAGACUUGGGGGCAGGAAUCAGAUCAUAGCCUGGUGGUUCUCAAAGGUGGUCUAAGCCCCAGCACCUCCCCCAUCAGAAUCACCUGGACGUGCGUAUUAAAGCUGCAGAUUUAGCAACCCCAGGCUCGAUGAGUCAGAAUUUCUGGGGAUGCUGAGCCCAAGAAACUCACUACAUACAGAUAGCUCUUGCGCACUGAGGUUUGUGAGCAAGUGUCUCAGGCUGCUUCUUCAUCCUCCUCUUCGCCUCGUCGCCCACAGCAGAGGGUCCAGAUCUGAGCACAUAGUAGGUGCCCAGGAAAUGCUUGCUUGUUGAUCUAAGCAGCAUCAAACCAUGAUAGUUGUAAUAUCUCUUCAAUCUCCUGACCUUUUCGGAUAUGAAGUCAGCAUAUUCUCUGAACCCUGAGAAACCCCUUUUUGUCUAAAUGUGUGAAGAGCUCCUCUAGGUCAGAGGCUCCUUUGGAAACCUUUUUAUGUCUCUUUCUCUGUCACCAAUUGACUCUUGACUGUCCCUGGUAAUGGCAGGAACCCUAAGUGUAGUAGAGCAGGGAUAUCAGCUGUGGGAGCUGGACUUGAGCUGACGAGACGGGCGAAGGCUC